rnacentral:lncRNA from 1 species
UCUCCUUCGCUUCCUCUUCACAUCCAGCGUUUCCUGCUUCAUGAGCUCCAUCCCAGUCAUCACUUGAAUCGCACACUCCAAACCCCUGUAUAACUUUUCAAUACCACAAAAACUUAUGCAACUUAAAUGCCCAAGGCGCCGGUGCCCGGAUAAUAAUUUAUCCAGAUACUUAUUCCUCAUGUGCAAUGCUGCAGGCUGAUAUUGCCAGCUCAGAUCCGCCAUGUAAUCCAUACCGUCUCACUUGAACACAUCAGCAAUAGGAAUCCCGCCUGGGGAGGUGGUGGAGGCGGCAGUGUCGGUGGCAGCGUUGGUGGUUAGCCCUGCUUAAGUUUAGCGCACUUCAUGACCAAAUGCCCCUGCAGCUGCUCCCUUGCAGUGGAAGCACUUGUGGUAAUCAUUGCCUUUCUUGUGCAGCAUCUGCGACACAACAGCGUGUGCCCCUUGACAGACGAUUUCUUGGCCUCAGCCUAAAUCUUCUGUUCUCGAUGAGGCGGUGCAUCGCUAGCUUGUCCACAUUGUCAAUGUUGUCCACAUUCCCUCCAUCAUAGUUCAAUACAUACAGUCCGACCAGGAAUGGAGUUGGGCCGCUGUCGACCCGGCAGAUUCCGUUGGAUGCCGGUGGUGGGUGCGGAACCUGAGCGAUCCACUGAGAAGUUGACUAGGGUGACUGGAUGAGGGUGCCCCGAAAUACCGGGGAAGGCAGGGCUUCGCAGGGUAGCUGCCACAGGUGAAGGUAUACCCCCCUGUUUCACACAUCAUAUAUCCAUGGCCUCCCGGCUUUGACGGACCUCCCUGCUUUCGUGCGGCACUUGUAACUUGUAACGUGGUGCAGAACACCCUAUAUGUCUCUGGCAGGCCCUCCAGGACCUGAUCCACAUGUUCCCCAUAUGGCCAAUAUGAUCAAUAGCCGUGAACGCCAGUCAGACGGUCUGAAACCUCGUGAUGUAGUCGUUGACUUCCUCGUUCAGUUCCAUUUCAAAUCUGAUUAGCCGGUCCGCAAGCAGGGUCUUCACAGCCCAGGUUCGCUGCCCAUAUUCCACCGCUAAAGCAAGCCACAGAUCGCACACCUUUCCGUGCCGUGCAUACAAAGGCUUCUCCAGGACGCGGAUAAAUUCCUUAAUCACGCCCAAAGCGAUUCUGCCUUGCGCGUUGGUUACUUCGUCACGCGUGCGGAGCCUGCGAGGGAUUGAUCGCGUUUGCUAACCCCUUUCGCGGGAGGACGCCGAUAACGUGCUCCUUCCGCACAUGGAAUGUGCUUGCUGUAAAAUCGGAUUGCUCUUCUUGAUCCUUCCUCAUCAUUUGCCAAAAGCUAAAUCCGCACACAGCAGAGAGAGCACCACCGGGCAAAUAAUGGCCGCACAAGUUUGCAAUGUUUUUCGCCUGUAGACCACACCCUCGUAUGCAAGAACUGACGCACUAAAGCGCUGGCCUAAUAACCUGUUGGAGAUAAUAGUCCUUCAGUGAAUACAUCACUCCCUCAUAUCGUUGCACAAGAGGAAAGAACGCUAAAUCAUCAGAACUAUAUGAACUCAUCCCCGCUGAUCCUGAUCUGUUAUCGUACCAGAAUCCAAACAGCCAAACCAAGGUGACAAGCCUGAGAGUCUCUUAGAACGCUUUUCCAACAGCCAACGUCACCUGGUGCCUGCUGCGUGCGACAAGCGACAGGCAACGCACAACAGCAAUGGAUAGACGGAAAAGAUAUUUUAAUCGUCAGCAGCAGUAUGUCAUAAAUAAGUAAUUUCCUG